UACGUAGGGUGCAAGCGUUAAUCGGAAUUACUGGGCGUAAAGCGUGCGCAGGCGGUUGUGCAAGACCGAUGUGAAAUCCUCGGGCUUAACCUGGGAAUGGCAUUGGUGACUGCACGGCUAGAGUGUGUCAGAGGGGGGUAGAAUUCCACGUGUAGCAGUGAAAUGCGUAGAGAUGUGGAGGAAUACCGAUGGCGAAGGCAGCCCCCCUGGGAUAACACUGACGCUCAUGCACGAAAGCGUGGGGAGCAAACAGG
rnacentral:rRNA from 1 species